UACGAAGGGGGCUAGCGUUGUUCGGAAUCACUGGGCGUAAAGCGCACGUAGGCGGAUCUUUAAGUCAGGGGUGAAAUCCCGAGGCUCAACCUCGGAACUGCCUUUGAUACUGGGGAUCUCGAGUCCGGGAGAGGUGAGUGGAACUGGCGAGUGUAGAGGUGAAAUUCGUAGAUAUUCGCAAGAACACCAGUGGCGAAGGCGGACUCACUGGCCCG
rnacentral:rRNA from 1 species